rnacentral:misc_RNA from 1 species
UUCCCCAUGUAUGCUGCAGUUUGACGAAAAGUAAGCAAAGAGGUAUGUACAUCUUCAUUUUCAAUGAAACCUGAACUUGCAACGAUGCAAAUAAUGAUGCCAUCUUUAGUCAUUACCUCAAUACCAGCACCCAUGAAAGGACAGUCAUAUAAAGCUUGUAUAAUUGAACUUUCAAUGCUGUUACCAGCUCCAAAUCCAAUUUUUGCUUCUUUGUGGCUUUCCAGAAUUUUC